GGUGUAGAGAACUGAUGUAAAUAAAGUACAUCAAAGGUAGUACUUUACUUACAGACUGGUACUUUGUCCUGAUAUGGAAUGAUCUCUAAGAUACAUUAACAGAAAAAGCAAGGUACAGAACAAUAUAUAGUGUGCUUUCAUUUGUGGGAAAUGUCUCUAGAGAUGUUUUGUAGCCAUAGAAUAUUCCUAAAAGGAUAUGCAAGAAACACUGUUUACCCUAUUUUACCUUAUCUCGUGCAUAUAUUUAUUCAAAUAAAUAAUUUAGAAUUUUCAAAGAAAGGAAGCACUGAAUAAAUAUUUGAUAAAUGACAACUUAAAUUUUUGCUCAAGCAACAGUUUUACAUCGAUAUAGUAUAUCCCUAUCUAGGGGGCAGAAAUUGAGCACCUAGCCCAGCAAGUUUUUUUGUUGUUGUUUGUUUGUUUUGGUUUUUUGCCCUGGCUGGAGUGAAGUGGCACAAUCUCAGCUUGCUGCAACUUCCACCCCCCAGGUUCAAGCUAUUCUCCUGCCUCAGCCUCUCUUGUACCUGGGAUUAUAGGUGUCUGCCACCACACCCAGCUAAUUUUUGUAUUUUUAUUAGAGAUGGAGUUUUGCCAUGUUGGCCAGGCUGGUCUCCAACUCCUGACCUCAGGUGAUCCACCCCCCUCAGCCUCCCAAAGUGCUAGGAUUACAGGCUUGGGCCACCGCGCCUGGUAAGUUUUUUUUUUUUUUUAAUUAUUUAUUUUUUUGAGACAGAGUCUCACUCUGUUGCCCAGGCUAGAGUACAUUGGUGCUUGCUGCAACCUCCGCCUCCGGGGUUCAAGUGAUUCUCCUGCUUCAUCCUCCUGAGUAGUUAGGAUUACAGGCCUGCCACCACGCCCAGCUAGGAAGGUUUUUUUUUUAAUAUGACACUUAUAAACUUAAUUUGAUUGAUAGUGAUAAUAGUAUUCAUUGUGUUUUGUGAAAUAUAUUCUAAAUUCCCUAUUUACAUAGUGAAGUAAAAAAGGUGCACUAACUCCCGGGAUACAUCAUUCUCUCUGUCCUUAGAGGAAGCAAAGUAUAUUAGUUAUUGCUGUAUAACAAAUAACCCAAAACUCAGUAGAUUAAAACAACAACAAAUAUGUAUUACGUCUCUCAAGAAUUUGGUAAUAGCUUAGCUCUGGGGAGGUUCUGGCUUAGGGUCUCUUAAAAGCUUGAAAUCUGGCAUGAGCCACUGAGCCUGGCCAUGGCAAUACAUUUCUGACACCACCCAAGAAUUAGCAUAGACCUCACAGGUCAAAGGGCAUGGUCCUCAACAAGACUGUCCUCACUUCAGAUGCCAGCUGUACUUCGGAGGUACCCCCAGCCACCUGCAUUUUCGACCAAGUGGCUACAGAUUUGGAGAGUCCCAUGACCCUCUUAGAACCAGCUUUUGAUUUCGUUGGUUUUCUUAUUGUUUUUAGUUCCUUUAAAGUUAGGUUGGUUGAUUUGAGGUCUUUUUACUUUUUUUUUGAGACGGAGUUUCACUCUGUUGCUCAGGCCAGAGUGCAGUGGCACAAUCUCAGAUCACU
rnacentral:lncRNA from 10 species